GAUCUAGGCCCUGGAGCCAGCGCAGGACAGAACGACUCAGGCGGGAGCUCCUAGGCGGAUGUGGAUACACCAGACAUUUCUUUGGCUUCUUUCCUGCGGGAACUGCUGGUGGUGUAGAUAAUUGUAGCUUUCACUCCUCAUCUAAGAAGCUUCUCUUGGGAGCAAAUGGAAACCAUCACAGAAAACCACAACUGGACACAAUAGAGAGAUCCACAGAUGACGAGAAGCCUGGCUCCAAUGGAUCCAACGCCAUCAUAGCUCUGCCACUAUGGCUCAGAAAACAUUGGGGGAGAGAGGGAGAAAAGGCUACAAGAGCUAGAGCACCAGAAAGUCUUCUGUGAAUCCAGUUCUCCUGUAAAUGGCUGCAUGAGCAAGACCACGACAAUGGCAACAUCAGUGGAUGUGCUUAUGUGAAAGGGAGAAAGUAUCACAGGGUCCCAUUCCCAGACAAAGAACUAUGGGUCACAAAUGACUUCUGGGAGAAGGAGAAUCGGCUUCUACUAAGAAUGAACACACUUAUUGGUUUUCCAGUGCGGAGGGGAAAGUGAUAUACAAAUGACUAACCAAAUCAGGUUCUAUCAAGAUACAUAUACACAUACACAUACAUAUGUGUGUAUGUUAAUACAUAUAUACACAUAUAAAUAUAAACACAUAUAUAUAUAUAAAACCUUGGAGAGAGAGAGAGAGCAUAAUAGUCAAGGAAAAUAUCAACUUGAGGAAUAGUUGGAGAAGUUGGAGUGGAGGGAGGGUAUCUGGGAGGGUGGCAGGGAGGAAAGAGGAGGUAGGGGUGAUACAAUACUAUUUUAAUCAAUAAAUAUGUAUUUUAAAAAUAAGAUAUUAGCUUUCACCAUGUCUAUGUCAAGUUGUUUAGCAUAUAUUUAGUACUAAUUUGUUGUAAUGUUAAUUUCUGCCUUUUUAAGUCCUUUGGGUUUUUCUUCCAAUUUAUUUAUUUAUUCACUUUACAUCUCUGGAUCAGCCCCGCUCUGCUCCCAGUACCCUUUUACACAAGAACCCCCAGUUAUGUGCUGGCUUUGAGAUAGACUGUAGCAGAUUUUUCUUCUUCUUCUUUUUUUAGGUUAGGAAUUAUUUAUUGAAUAAAUUAACAGUGGUAACUGUG
ensembl:antisense 5330439A09Rik RIKEN cDNA 5330439A09 gene